rnacentral:rRNA from 1 species
AUUGAACGCUGGCGGAAUGCUUUACACAUGCAAGUCGAACGGCAGCACGGACUUCGGUCUGGUGGCGAGUGGCGAACGGGUGAGUAAUGUAUCGGAACGUGCCCAGUCGUGGGGGAUAACGUAGUGAAAAUUACGCUAAUACCGCAUACGAUCUUUGGAUGAAAGCGGGGGAUCGCGAGACCUCGCGCGAUUGGAGCGGCCGAUAUCAGACUAGGUAGUUGGUGGGGUAAAGGCCCACCAAGCCAACGAUCUGUAGCUGGUCUGAGAGGACGACCAGCCACACUGGAACUGAGACACGGUCCAGACUCCUACGGGAGGCAGCAGUGGGGAAUUUUGGACAAUGGGCGAAAGCCUGAUCCAGCCAUUCCGCGUGCAGGAUGAAGGCCCUCGGGUUGUAAACUGCUUUUGUACAGAACGAAAAGGUUUCUACUAAUACUAGGAGCUCAUGACGGUACUGUAAGAAUAAGCACCGGCUAACUACGUGCCAGCCGCCGCAGUAA